rnacentral:rRNA from 1 species
AUCACAGAGAGUUUGAUCCUGGCUCAGGAUGAACGCUUGCGAUGUGUCUAAGGCAUGCAAGUCGAAUGCUAGUAGCAAUACUGGCAUGGCAAACGGGAGAGUAACACAUUGGUAACUUACCUCGAAGUCGGGCAUAACCCGGAGAAAUCCGGAGUAAUUCCCGAUGGCCGUGGGGGGACAUAAGUCAUUCCCACGUAAAGUUUUUUCGCUUCGAGAGAGACCUAUGUUCUAUCAGCUAGUUGGUAAGGUAACGGCUUACCAAGGCUACGACGGAUAGCGGGUGUGAGAGCAUGGCCCGCCUCACUGGGACUGAGAAACUGCCCAGACUCCUACGGGAGGCUGCAGUCAAGAAUCUUCCUCAAUGGCCGAAAGGCUGAAGGAGCGACAUCGCGUGCAGGAGGAAGCCCUUCGGGGUGUAAACUGCUUUUCUCUGGGAAGAAACAAUGACGGUACCAGAGGAAUAAGGGGUUGCUAAACUCGUGCCAGCAGCAGCGGUAAUACGAGUACCCCGAGCGUUAUCCGGAUUUAUUGGGCGUAAAGCGUGCGUAGACGGUUUAUAACAUCUCCUGUUAAAUCCCAAGGCUCAACCUUGGGGCUGCGGGAGAUAUGGAUAAACUAGAGGCUGGAAGAGGUAAGCGGAAUUGCUGGUGUAGGGGUUAAAUCCGUUAAUAUCAGCAGGAACACCAAAUGCGAAGGCAGCUUACUGGAACAGUUCUGACGUUCAGGCACGAAAGCGUGGGGAGCGAAUGGGAUUAGAUACCCCAGUAGUCCACGCUGUAAACGAUGGAUGCUAAGCAUUGGGAGUUUCGACCCUCUCAGUGCUGUCUGCCUAAGUUAACACCUUAAGCAUCCCGCCUGGGGAGUACGGCCGCAAGGCUAAAACUCAAAGGAAUAGACGGGGACCCGCACAAGCGGUGGAGCAUGUGGUUUAAUUCGACGAUAAGCGUGGAACCUCACCAAGGUUUGACAUAUAGCUGCAGACCCCUGGAAACAGGGGAGCCUUCGAGGGUGCUAUACAGAUGCUGCAUGGUUGUCGUCAGCUCGUGUCGUGAGAUGUACCGUUAAGUCGGGAAACGAGCGCAACCCCUACCCUAUGUUUUACGUGUCAUAGGGAACUGUCUGCUUUAAGCAGGAGGAAGGUGGGGAUGACGUCAAAUCAGCAUGGUUCUUACACCUUGGGCGACACACGUGCUACAAUGGGAAGUACAAAGGGACGCCAAAUCGUAAGAUGGAGCAAAUCCCAAAAAACUUCCCUCAGUUCGGAUUGAGGGCUGCAACUCGCCCUCAUGAAGCUGGAAUCGCUAGUAAACGCAGAUCAGCCAUGCUGCGUUGAAUACGUUCUCGGGUCUUGUACUCACCGCCCGUCACACCAAGAGAGUCGGAGGCGCCCGAACUUGCUAUUGCAGCAAGGAAGGUGAAGCCGAUGAUAAGGGUGAAGUCGUAACAAGGCAUCCGUAGCGGAAGCUGUGGAUGGAUCACCUCCUUU